rnacentral:rRNA from 1 species
UACGAAGGGGGCUAGCGUUGCUCGGAAUCACUGGGCGUAAAGGGUGCGUAGGCGGGUUUUUAAGUCAGAGGUGAAAUCCUGGAGCUCAACUCCAGAACUGCCUUUGAUACUGAGAAUCUUGAGUAUGGGAGAGGUGGGUGGAACUGCGAGUGUAGAGGUGAAAUUCGUAGAUAUUCGCAAGAACACCAGUGGCGAAGGCGGCUCACUGGCCCAUAACUGACGCUGAGGCACGAAAGCGUGGGGAGCAAACAGG